rnacentral:ncRNA from 1 species
GCAAUUGUUGGUCUUCAACGAGGAAUGCCUAGUAAGCGCGAGUAAUCAUCUCACGUUGACUACAUCCCUCCCUUUGUACACACCACCCAUCGCUCCUACCAAUUGAAUGGUCCGGUGAAAUGUUCAGAUCGCGGCGACGGGAGCGGUUCACCGUCCCCGACAUCGCGAGAAGUCCAUUGAACCUUAUCAUUUAGAGGAAGGAGA